GAAGUAAAAAGUCGUAACAAGGUUUCCGUAGGUGAACCUGCGGAAGGAUCAUUAAUAAAUUCCUGAAUUUAAAGAAUAAAAUAAUAUCUACCCUAUGUGAAUUUGUUGUUUUGAAAUAAUUUUUUUUAAAAAAUUAUUGAUUGUCUUUCCCUGUUGAAUUAGAGGUCUGAUAUGAAUUCACAGGGAUAGUCAGUAAUUUUUUUAAAAGACCUUUUUUUAAAUUAAACUUUUUGUAUCAUUUGUCUAAAUUAUUUUUAUAAUAUAAAAACAACUUUUGACAAUGGAUCUCUUGGUUCUCGCACGAUGAAGAACGCAGCAAAAUGCGAUAGUAGUGUGAUUGCAGAAUACGUGAAUCAUCGAAUCUUCGAACGCAUAUUGCACUUUUUAGUUUACUAAAAAAGUAUGUCUGUUUGAGUAUCAGUAAAUAUUCUCAUAAAACAUUGUUUUUUAUGGUUAUGAGUGUUUACAACGAUACAAGUGUUUCACUUUAAAUUCUUGUCUUUUAAAAAAUCAUUAAAAACUGAUUUUUUUUAAAAAUUGGAUAAAUUUUCCCGUAAAAGGAAUAACUAAACAAUUUUAAAAUUAAAAUUGGUUUGAUUUCUUUAAGAAUUAAAGGAAAAAAGUAAAAAUUAACUUGAUCUCAAAUCAGAUAAGAGUACCGCUGAACUUAAGCAUAUCAAUAAGCGAGGAAAAGAAACUAACAAGGAUUCCCUUAGUAACGGCGAGUGAAGCGGAAGGCUCAAUUUGAAAUCUUCAAGGUUACCUUGACGAAUUGUAGUUUAAGAAGUGUUUUCUGUUGGAGUUUUGGUAAAGUCUUUGGAAUAGGACAUCAUAGAGGGUGAGAAUCCGUAUUGACCAUUAUUUCCAGCUGUGUGAUACACUUUCAAAGAGUCGAUUGUUUGGAAUGCAGUCAAAAUGGGUGUAAAUUCAUCUAAAGCUAAAUAUUGGCGAGAACGAUAGCGAACAAGUACCGUGAGGGAAAGAUGAAAAGAACUUUGAAAAGAGAGUUAAACAGUACGUGAAAUUGUCAAAGGAAGCGUUGACACAGUGUUGUUUCUCGAAAAUCAAUUAAAAUGAUGGAUUUUGUGUUGUAUUGACUUUAUCGCUUUCUGCACUUUUUCUUAUCUUUUUAAUGCACUUUUCGUUUAACAAGUCAACAUCAAUUUCUUUGUUGUAAAAGAUCAUUGGAAGGUGGCUUUUCUCGGAAAAAGUGUUUAUAGCCUUUGGCUUCUGCAAUCGGAGAGAUUGAGGUCUGCAGCGUAAUCCUUCGGGGUUAGAUACAUUUGUGCUAACUAUAGUUCUUUAUAGACAACUUGUUGACUAAUAAAUCCUGUACUUACUCGCUUAUGCUAUUUACCUACGCUUAGAUGUGAG
rnacentral:misc_RNA from 1 species